rnacentral:ncRNA from 1 species
GUUACCCGGCGAAAUUGAAAUGGCUGUGAAGAUGCGGCCUACUUGCACCUGGACAAAAAGACCCCGUGGAGCUUUACUGCAACUUGGCAUUGGGAAGCCGUUUUUGACUGUCGAGAAUAGGUGGGAGCCUUCGGGCAACAGUGGAAUACCACUCUUCGAAAAUGUCAACUCUAACCGCUUCGCCGCACAAAAAUCCGGCAGCGGAACAGUGUCUGGUGGGCAGUUUAACUGGGGAGGUUUUCUCCAAAACAGUAACGGAGAUGCACAAAGGUACGCUUAGUAGGGAUGGAAAUCCUACGUGACGUGUAAAGGCUCAAGCGUGCUUGACUGUGAGACAUACAGGUCGAACAGAUGCGAAAGCAGGUCUUAAUGAUCCUCGACUCCGCCGUGGUGGCGGAUCGGGCUUAACGGAUAAAAGCUACCCCGGGGAUAACAGGCUGAUCGGAUCCGAGAGUCCAUAUCGACGAUCCGGUUUGGCACCUUUUGUGAAAACAUUGGGGCGCCUAUGUAGUGAUAUAUAAGUCUGGUCGUUCGUGCUGUUAACCCACAACACGAAUGAUAAAAUUUUCUAGCUCAAAUCGGUGAAUUCCUGAAAAAUUCGGAUAGAUUUUUUAGGAGAAUACCGAGGGAAAUAUGCUCAAAGAUUUCUUUGGAAAUUUUUAAAACAUAAAACCCGUAUCGACUGAUGUCCGAUUAUUAUCGGACAGAGAUAGGUUUCUCAAAUUUACCUAUCAAACAGCUAGCCCCUCCAUAUCUUACUUUAGAUAAAAGCUACUCCGGGGAUAACAGGCUGAUCGCUUCCGAGAGUCCAUAUCGACGAGGCGGUUUGGCACCUCGAUGUCGGCUCAUCCUAUCCUGGGGCUGGAGAAGGUCCCAAGGGUCCGGCUGUUCGCCGGUUAAAAGGGUACGCGAGCUGGGUUCAGAACGUCGUAAGACAGUAAAAUGACCGUUGCUGUCUUUAAAUCUGGCUAUUUGCUGGAAAAUCCGAGUAUCUUGUGAUACUUGAGAAGAAUUUUACAUAGAGAUAAAAUAUCUCUAUGAACUCAAGUGAUAAUUCAUCAAGUGCGGACAAUCAGCAGGUAAGCAGGAUAGAUGAUAGUUAUUUUGCGGGAUUUGUGGAUGGGGAAGGAUGCUUUUAUGUGGGAUUUAGUAGUAGGAAAGAUUUACCUUUACGGUGGCAAAUUAUUACUGAGUUUCAUGUUAGUCAGAAUCCUGGAAGUAAAAAUGUUCUUGAAGGACUUAAAAGCAGGUUGGGUUGUGGAUAUCUUAAACCGAACCAUGCGAAGAGUCUUAGGGAUAAAUCCUGGGUUUUGAUAGUAAAAGACAGAAAGGAUUUAGUAGAAAAAGUAGUCCCUUUUUUUGAAAAGCACCCAUUACACACAGCAAAAUAUAAAGAUUUCCUGGUAUUUAGGAAAAUUCUUCAGAUGAUCUUAAAAGGCAAACAUCUUACGAAAGAGGGUUUUCGUGAUUGUGUAGGAUUAGUAUUCUCUUUAAAAAGAUCAACGAAGAAGAAAUAUUCCAUGGAGAUCUUAUUAUCUUCUUGAAACCUCAGAGACUAUACGUCAGACUCCGCCUUUGGCGGGGAAGAUAUAGUCCGAACUGCAUGGCGACAUGCAGAGUCUAGCAGAAAUGCUAGAUUCCCGAUUAAAAUUUAAUAGGGAUAACAUAAUUGUCGGUCUCUAUCCGGUGCAAGCGUUAGAUACUUGAGGGGAUCUCGCGACAGUACGAGAGGACCUCGCGGGAGGAAUCCCUGGUGUGCCAGUUGUCCGGUCACGGGCAGCACGCUGGAUAGCUAAAUUCCUUCGGGAUAAGCGCUGAAAGCAUCUUAAGCGCCAAGCCCACCCCAAGAUGAAGUAUCUUUAUCAGGUCCCUAGUAGAAUACUAGGUUGAUAGGCUGAAAGUGUAAGCUCAGUAAUGAGUUUAGCUCAUCAGUACUAAUAGACCGAUGUAGAUUUUAAG